rnacentral:rRNA from 1 species
GACGAACGCUGGCGGCGUGCUUAACACAUGCAAGUCGAACGGUAAGGCCCUUCGGGGUACACGAGUGGCGAACGGGUGAGUAACACGUGGGUGAUCUGCCCUGCACUUUGGGAUAAGCCUGGGAAACUGGGUCUAAUACCGGAUAGGACCAUGCGCUUCACGGUGUGUGGUGGAAAGCUUUUGCGGUGUGGGAUGGGCCCGCGGCCUAUCGGCUUGUUGGUGGGGUAAUGGCCUACCAAGGCGACGACGGGUAGCCGGCCUGAGAGGGUGACCGGCCACACUGGGACUGAGAUACGGCCCAGACUCCUACGGGAGGCAGCAGUAGGGAAUUUUCCACAAUGGGCGAAAGCCUGAUGGAGCAACACCGCGUACAGGAUGAAGGCUUUCGGGUCGUAAACUGCUUUUACUAGUGACGAAUAUGACGGUAACUAGAGAAUAAGGAUCGGCUAACUACGUGCCAGCAGCCGCCGUAA